CACUUUAUUUUUUAGAGUUUUGGCCUUGGAUGGAUUGUUGGGUUAUGGCCAUUAUUUUGGGCCCUAUUCAUCAGUUUUGCAUUGGGAACUGCUUAUUCAAUCAAUGUGCCCCUUUUGAGAUGGAAGAGAUUUGCUUUAGUUGCAGCAAUGUGCAUUCUCGCAGUUCGAUCAGUGAUUGUUCAACUAGCUUUUUUUCUUCACAUGCAGACCCAUGUCUUUAAAAGGCCAGCUGCCUUCUCAAGGCCUCUCAUCUUUGCAACUGCAUUUAUGAGCUUCUUCUCAGUUGUUAUAGCAUUAUUUAAGGUA